AGGUAAGCUACUAAGAGCGAAUGGUGGAUGCCUUGACUGGUAAAGGCGAUGAAGGACGUACUAGACUGCGAUAAGCUACGGGGAGCUGUCAAGAAGCUUUGAUCCGUAGAUUUCCGAAUGGGGCAACCCAAUGUAUAGAGAUAUACAUUACCUAUAUAGGAGCGAACGAGGGGAAUUGAAACAUCUUAGUACCCUCAGGAAAAGAAAUCAAUAGAGAUUGCGUCAGUAGCGGUGAGCGAAAGCGCAAGAGGGCAAACCCAGUGCUUGCACUGGGGGUUGUAGGACUGCAAUGUGCAAGAGGUGAGUUUAGCAGAACAUUCUGGAAAGUAUAGCCAUAGAGGGUGAUAGUCCCGUAUGCGAAAAACAAACCUUAGCUAGCAGUAUCCUGAGUAGGGCGGGACACGAGAAAUCCUGUCUGAAGCUGGGUCGACCACGAUCCAACCCUAAAUACUAAUACCAGAUCGAUAGUGCACAAGUACCGUGAGGGAAAGGUGAAAAGAACUGAGGUGAUCAGAGUGAAAUAGAACCUGAAACCAUUUGCUUACAAUCAUUCAGAGCCCUAUGUAGCAAUACAGGGUGAUGGACUGCCUUUUGCAUAAUGAGCCUGCGAGUUGUGGUGUCUGGCAAGGUUAAGCAAACGCGAAGCCGUAGCGAAAGCGAGUCUGAAUAGGGCGCUUAGUCAGAUGCUGCAGACCCGAAACGAAGUGAUCUAUCCAUGAGCAAGUUGAAGCUAGUGUAAGAACUAGUGGAGGACUGAACCCAUAGGCGUUGAAAAGCCCCGGGAUGACUUGUGGAUAGGGGUGAAAGGCCAAUCAAACUUCGUGAUAGCUGGUUCUCUCCGAAAUAUAUUUAGGUAUAGCGUUGUGUCGUAAUAUAAGGGGGUAGAGCACUGAAUGGGCUAGGGCAUACACCAAUGUACCAAACCCUAUCAAACUCCGAAUACCUUAUAUGUAAUCACAGCAGUCAGGCGGCGAGUGAUAAAAUCCGUCGUCAAGAGGGAAACAACCCAGACUACCAGCUAAGGUCCCUAAAUCUUACUUAAGUGGAAAACGAUGUGAAGUUACUUAAACAACCAGGAGGUUGGCUUAGAAGCAGCCAUCCUUUAAAGAAAGCGUAAUAGCUCACUGGUCUAGUGAUUUUGCGCGGAAAAUAUAACGGGGCUAAAGU
rnacentral:rRNA from 1 species